rnacentral:rRNA from 1 species
UACGAAGGGGGCUAGCGUUGCUCGGAAUCACUGGGCGUAAAGGGUGCGUAGGCGGGUCUUUAAGUCAGGGGUGAAAUCCUGGAGCUCAACUCCAGAACUGCCUUUGAUACUGGCGAUCUCGAGUCCGGGAGAGGUGAGUGGAACUGCGAGUGUAGAGGUGAAAUUCGUAGAUAUUCGCAAGAACACCAGUGGCGAAGGCGGCUCACUGGCCCGGUACUGACGCUGAGGAGCGAAAGCGUGGGGAGCGAACAGG